UCGGUGUGAUGCCGUCGUCGUGAGGUCGC
rnacentral:sRNA from 1 species